CUUCCAUGUACCUCUGAGGUCAGUAACUCGUCCUCAAGAAUUUUACCUAGCUCUGUCCCUGGGAAAAGGUAUUUCCUCCCUGGUUGCAAAGCCCCAAGAGUCCCAGACCAGAAAAUUUGCUGAAAGCAUGUGAAAGUUCCUAAGUACAAGAAUAAGGGUCUAAAUCACAAAAUCUAAGAAGAAGGAGGUCUGCGUGCCUGACCAACCUGAUAAACUCCUAUGAUGAAAUCAUCGGCCUGAUGGAUGACAAGGGAGCAGUGGAUAUUCACCUUGUUGGACUUCAGUAAGACCUUUCACAUUGUCCUCCAUAGUAUCCUCACAGAAAAGCUGUUGAAGUAUGGGCUGGAUGAGCAGAUAUGGAUGCAGAAGUGGACUGAAAACUGUCUGAAUGGCCAGGUCAAGAGAGAUGAUCCUUGUGCUCUACUCAGUGCUGGUGAGGUUGCAUCUCAUAUACAGCACCCAGUUCUGGUCUACUCAGUACUAAAGAGACCUGGAUGUACUGGAAAGAGUCCAGAGGAGGACCAUCAAGUUGAAGAAGGAACUGGAGCACCUCUUCUGUGAGGAGAGGCUGAAAGAUCUGGGACUGCUCAGUACGUAGAAGCAGGCUCAGGAGAGAUCUCAUAGACUAGUAUCUUUGAAGGGAGGGUGAAGACACCCCAUGUUAUUUUCAGUCAUGUUGCGCUAGGACAGGGCUUAAUGGGCACAAACUGGAGUACAGGAGGUUCUGUCUAAGCAGCAGGAAACACUUCUUUAUUUUGUGGGUUAU
ensembl:lncRNA